rnacentral:rRNA from 1 species
CCUACGGGAUGCAGCAGUGAGGAAUAUUGGUCAAUGGGCGAGAGCCUGAACCAGCCAAGUCGCGUGAGGGAGUACUUCCCUAGGGGUUGUAAACCUCUUUUGUCGGGGAGCAAAAGACGGCGGUGUCCUGCUGUGAGCGUACCCGAAGCGCAAGCAUCGGCUAACUCCGUGCCAGCCGACGCGGUAAUCCGGAGGAUGAGAGCGUUAUCCGGAUUUAUUGGGGUUAACGGGUGCGCAGGCGGAUUUUUAAGUCGGCGUUAAAAGCGUGGGGCUAAACCCCGGCGAGCCGUUGAAACUGGCUGUCUGGAGAUGUAGAGAGGUAUGUGGAAUGCGCAGUGUAGCGGUGAAAGGCUUAGAUAUUGCGCAGAACUCCGAUGGCGAAGGCAGCAUACUGGCGGCGAUAUGACGCUGAGGCACGAAAGCGUGGGUAUCGAACAGGAUUAGAUACCCUAGUAGUC